rnacentral:rRNA from 1 species
CCUACGGGUGGCAGCAGUGGGGAAUAUUGGGCAAUGGGCGAAAGCCUGACCCAGCAACGCCGCGUGAAGGAAGAAGGCUUUCGGGUUGUAAACUUCUUUUGACAGGGAAGAGCAGAAGACGGUACCUGUCGAAUAAGCCACGGCUAACUACGUGCCAGCAGCCGCGGUAAUACGUAGGUGGCAAGCGUUGUCCGGAUUUACUGGGUGUAAAGGGUGCGCAGGCGGAAUGUCAAGUCAGCGGUAAAAUUUCGGGGCUCAACCCCGUCGUGCCGUUGAAACUGGCGUUCUUGAGUGAGCGAGAAGUAUGCGGAAUGCGUGGUGUAGCGGUGAAAUGCAUAGAUAUCACGCAGAACUCCGAUUGCGAAGGCAGCAUACCGGCGCUCAACUGACGCUCAUGCACGAAAGCGUGGGUAUCGAACAGGAUUAGAUACCCCUGUAGUC